rnacentral:rRNA from 1 species
GAUGAACGCUGGCGGCGUGCCUAAUACAUGCAAGUCGAGCGGACAGACGAGGAGCUUGCUCCUCUGACGUUAGCGGCGGACGGGUGAGUAACACGUGGAUAACCUACCUAUAAGACUGGGAUAACUUCGGGAAACCGGAGCUAAUACCGGAUAAUAUAUUGAACCGCGUGGUUCAAUAGUGAAAGACGGUUUUGCUGUCACUUAUAGAUGGAUCCGCGCCGCAUUAGCUAGUUGGUAAGGUAACGGCUUACCAAGGCAACGAUGCGUAGCCGACCUGAGAGGGUGAUCGGCCACACUGGAACUGAGACACGGUCCAGACUCCUACGGGAGGCAGCAGUAGGGAAUCUUCCGCAAUGGGCGAAAGCCUGACGGAGCAACGCCGCGUGAGUGAUGAAGGUCUUCGGAUCGUAAAACUCUGUUAUUAGGGAAGAACAAAUGUGUAAGUAACUAUGCACGUCUUGACGGUACCUAAUCAGAAAGCCACGGCUAACUACGUG